CUUCGGUUUAAGAAAAGCCAACUUAAAAAAAAAAAAAAGCCCUGGACUUUGAAGCUAGAUGUGGAGUAUACUGAAUACAAAUUUAAUGUUUACAGUCCAGGUUUUAGGAACCCUUCUCUGGUACCGUUGGAUUGAUCCUGAGCAAAUAACUUCACCUAUCUGCGCUUUGAGUUUCUCUUUAGAUCCCCAUGAUACAUUUCAGUUUUUGCCUUCAUUCCAGCAGUGUGAAUUUGCAUUCUAAAAUGCUUCUUGAUUUAUUCAUUGAUGUCCUGUUACCUGUUUUCCUAGAGUACACAGAGCAUCAUUUCUCAGGAUGCUGACGUCUCAUCUGAGCCAGAAGUGGUGAUGGGGGAAGGCGGAGUAACUAAGGCACUUUAUGCUAAAUCAUCCAGUGCUUUAGGCCUUCAAAUACUGGGGAGCAACCCGCAAGGUGCGUAUAUUAUAAAUGAGAGAAGCUGAAGCUUAAAGAUGCUGAGUGGUCAAAGGCAUAACCAAAAAGAACCAGAGCCUGGUGCGCCUGGCUGGACACUCUAGCUGGCUCUCUAGAGAAGCCACUGUCUUGGCUUGAUUCUUUCUGGCUUUGGUGCUGAGCCACUCCAUGGCCUGCAGCAAGCCGGUCGCUCACUGUCUGCUCUCUAGAACCUGCUUUGUACAACUCUAGGGGCACUGAUCAUAUUCUAUCCUAGAGUUUUAUAAUACAAGGGCUCUGCUUUGACCAUACGCUUUUCUCAUUGGGAUGGUGAAAAUUACCAUUGUCACUGGUUAUGGUGCUUCUUCUGCAAGUAACAGAAAACUCCCAAUUGAACAACUUAUAAAAGUUUAAAAAAGAGGGAAAGAAAAAAGAAAGAAAGAGAAAGAAAGAAAGAAAGAAAAAGAAAGAAAGAAAGAAAGAAGAACGAACGAACGAGAUCAUCUCCUACAAAUGAGGUUCUGGUGUAGCCCAACUCUGGGUCUGGUUACGUCAGUGACAUCGCAAUGUCACUGGGGCCCUGGGCUCCUCCUGUCUUCCUUCCUUGCUUCCACUGGGCCCCCCAGAGCUGCAAGGUGGCCACUAUCGUUCCAGGCACCAUAUCCUGACACAACAAUCAAAGGAAGAAGAGGAACAGAUGUCUGCAUUACUGCUCUUCAAAAUCAAGAGAGAAAGUCGCCUGCUGCUAAUUCCUAGGUGUCUAGGAGUUCUGCCUGCUGAAUUGCCGUCAAAAUGAGACAGAGCCCAGCAGUUGUCAGCUGUCCAGCAAGGGUCCAUGAGAGCAUCCAAAUAAGGCAAGGUGUUUCUUUGAUGUUUCUCAGUCUCAGCAUUGGGAUUUUGUUUCUAUGAAUGCUUUUCUACCAAAUAGGAUGUUUAUAUCACUACGUCCUAUGGUAUUAUUGAAGUUACACAAACAGCAAUUUUGAACGAAAGCAGAUUUGGAUGGCUGGGAUCUACUUGGAUGUGUGAUGCUAAUGAACUGCAUAAUCUAGUUCUUUGUUCGGCUUGUGCUGAAAUGCGACGUCCCUGGACUGUGAUUACACUCCCUAGUCAUUCAGACUAGGAAAUUCUCCCCACUUCCCUGUGGAGAUGAGCAUCUGAAGGAUACAUUUCCUCAUGCUUCUUGAAUAUGAAGUAACAGCACUUAAAAAUCUUUCAUUCAAUCAUCAUUUAGCUAUCAAGGUCAUGAAACAGCAUGAAAUGAAGCACUCAAUCAAUUAUUGAAAGAUAGGCUUUUUAAGCAAUGACCAUUUUCCCUGUCAUAAUUACCUCUGCUAACAGGAAAGGGAGAAAUCACCACUUAGUUUCUUUUUGCGAAACACAAAGUUGCAUCUGUGGGUUCUGGAUCUAGAAAUGGAGAGGUUUACUAAGUCAGAGAGGCUGUUUUGGGGUACAAACUCCCGGCCAGAGGCUGGCAGGUGACCAGGAAAGAAACUGCUCUGGUCCCAUGGGGAUGGCUGCCCUGUUUCCCUUUGCUCAGGGGAGUAGUCUGGGGACAUGUUUGCUCUGUGAACCUGCCUUGUUAACUCGUUUGUCCCUUGAGUCACCGUCCAGAAGCUGCUUAUGAUCUCAGUCUGGUCUAGGGAGAAAUCGGUCCCGUUCUGUCAGCAUCCACCAGGCAGAAUGACCAGACAUCAAUUACUUGGCUGAGUGAGGGCUAAAUAACUGAACUGGAACAUGUUACUGGUGCAAUUUC
rnacentral:lncRNA from 13 species